GUGGGGAAUCUUGCGCAAUGGGCGAAAGCCUGACGCAGCGACGCCGCGUGAGUGAUGAAGGCCUUCGGGUUGUAAAGCUCUGUGGAGGGGGACGAAUAAGUGUGCGCGAAUAGCGUACAUGAUGACGGUACCCUUUUAGCAAGCACCGGCUAACUCUGUGCCAGCAGCCGCGGUAAGACAGAGGGUGCAAACGUUGUUCGGAAUUACUGGGCGUAAAGCGCGUGUAGGCUGCCCUGCAAGUCGGAUGUGAAAGCCCUGGGCUCAACCUAGGAAGUGCAUUCGAAACUGCAGGGCUGGAGUCCUGGAGAGGAAGGCGGAAUUCUCGGUGUAGAGGUGAAAUUCGUAGAUAUCGAGAGGAACACCGGUGGCGAAGGCGGCCUUCUGGACAGUGACUGACGCUGAGACGCGAAAGCGUGGGGAGCAAACAGGAUUAGAAACCCCGGUAGUCC
rnacentral:rRNA from 1 species